rnacentral:rRNA from 1 species
UACAGAGGUGGCAAGCGUUGUUCGGAUUUACUGGGCGUAAAGGGUGCGUAGGUGGUUUUGCAUGUCGGAUGUGAAAUACCACGGCUUAACCGUGGAAGUGCAUUCGAAACUGCAGAGCUAGAGUUCAGGAAGGGAGAGUGGAAUUCUUGGUGUAGCGGUGAAAUGCGUUGAUAUCAAGAAGAACACCGGUGGCGAAGGCGGCUCUCUGGAAUGAUACUGACACUGAGGCACGAAAGCUGGGGGAGCAAACAGG